rnacentral:misc_RNA from 1 species
AGCUGUAGUGAUUAACUGUUUGAUCUGUGCAUUAUCAAUCAAAAUCAUCAUCGACAACAACAAAAAAUAAUACAAUUUAUGGUUUGCUUAUGAAUAAGAUUCUUAACUGUAUGUGUGUGCAUGCUCUGUCCGCAUAAGUUCAACCAUUAGUCUCCCAUAUAUAAGAUUUAGUCUAAGUAUCAAAUGUAUAUUUACUAGAGUGCAAAUCAGCUCAACCCUCAAAAUCCCAAUUUAAAAAAGCAAUUUAAGCUAUUACAAUUAUUGUCUUGAACAAAUAAAGUCAAUUAAAUACGUGCAGGGAAAUAAACAGGAGGCAUACCAAGACUUGAUACAUAGAAGAAGCAUGCUAAGAAUCCAACUUUUCAACACUUGAAUAUUUGAUGUUCUGAUAGUUGCUAUUCAACUUUAGUUUUUAGUCACUGGUUUCAUUAUGUGCAUUAGAUCAUCAGAACAAUCUGAUGGAGGCUGUAGAGUUUGUCCCAUGGUGUGUCACAUGAUGAUAAAGUCAGAUUUGCGAUACAGCUUAAACAGAACAUUUCCACCUUCAAAUUCUAGAUGCAAAAUGCCCUAAGGACAUUGAAAGUAGAACGCUUGAUGAAGGAUGGAAAAACAAUAUCUAAACCACUAAUUUUAAUGGCAAAUUUCAGCCUUCUGAGUUAAAAACCUUUUCACCUUUAAAUUAUCUUUUUCUGUUUUUAGUAAGAUGAACUUUAUGCUUCUCUCAAUCAUACAAAAAUGUUUGUGUGUGUGUGUGUGUGU